rnacentral:rRNA from 1 species
AGUGAACGCUGGCGGUAGGCCUAACACAUGCAAGUCGAACGGCAGCACAGUAAGAGCUUGCUCUUACGGGUGGCGAGUGGCGGACGGGUGAGGAAUACAUCGGAAUCUACUUUUUCGUGGGGGAUAACGUAGGGAAACUUACGCUAAUACCGCAUACGACCUACGGGUGAAAGCAGGGGUUCUUCGGACCUUGCGCGAUUGAAUGAGCCGAUGUCGGAUUAGCUAGUUGGCGGGGUAAAGGCCCACCAAGGCGACGAUCCGUAGCUGGUCUGAGAGGAUGAUCAGCCACACUGGAACUGAGACACGGUCCAGACUCCUACGGGAGGCAGCAGUGGGGAAUAUUCGACAAUGGGCGCAAGCCUGAUCCAGCCAUACCGCGUGGGUGAAGAAGGCCUUCGGGUUGUAAAGCCCUUUUGUUGGGAAAGAAAAGCAGCAGGUUAAUACCCCGCUGUUCUGACGGUACCCAAAGAAUAAGCACCGGCUAACUUCGUG